GAUCAUGGCUCAGGAUGAACGCUAGCUACAGGCUUAACACAUGCAAGGUCGAGGGGCAGCAUUGGAGUAGCAAUACUCAGAUGGCGACCGGCGCACGGGUGAGUAACACGUAUCCAACCUGCCGCUUACUCGGGGAUAGCCUUUCGAAAGAAAGAUUAAUACCCGAUGGUAUAAAGAGUUCGCAUGUUCUCUUUAUUAAAGAAUUUCGGUAAGCGAUGGGGAUGCGUUCCAUUAGAUAGUUGGCGGGGUAACGGCCCACCAAGUCUACGAUGGAUAGGGGUUCUGAGAGGAAGGUCCCCCACAUUGGAACUGAGACACGGUCCAAACUCCUACGGGAGGCAGCAGUGAGGAAUAUUGGUCAAUGGACGAGAGUCUGAACCAGCCAAAGUAGCGUGAAGGAUGACUGCCCUAUGGGUUGUAAACUUCUUUUAUAAGGGAAUAAAGUGAGGGACGUGUCCCUUUUUGUAUGUACCUUAUGAAUAAGGAUCGGCUAACUCCGUGCCAGCCGCCGC
rnacentral:rRNA from 1 species